rnacentral:rRNA from 1 species
AACGAACGCUGGCGGCAGGCUUAACACAUGCAAGUCGAACGCACCGCAAGGUGAGUGGCAGACGGGUGAGUAACGCGUGGGAACCUUCCUUUUAGUAAAGAAUAGCCCAGGGAAACUUGGAUUAAUACUUUAUACGCCCUACGGGGGAAAGAUUUAUCGCUAAAAGAUGGGCCCGCGUUGGAUUAGCUAGUUGGUGAGGUAAUGGCUCACCAAGGCUACGAUCUAUAGCUGAUCUGAGAGGAUGAUCAGCCACGCUGGAACUGAGACACGGUCCAGACUCCUACGGGAGGCAGCAGUGGAGAAUAUUGGACAAUGGGCGCAAGCCUGAUCCAGCCAUGCCGCGUGAAUGACGAAGGCCUUCGGGUUGUAAAGUUCUUUAGCAGGGGAAAAUCAUGAUGGUACCCUGAAAAUAAGCUCCGGCUAACUUCGUGCCAGCCGCCGCCGUAA